UACGUAGGGUGCAAGCGUUGUCCGGAAUUAUUGGGCGUAAAGAGCUCGUAGGCGGUCUGUUGCGUCGGCUGUGAAAACCCGGGGCUCAACCCCGGGCCUGCAGCCGAUACGGGCAGACUAGAGUUCGGCAGGGGAGACUGGAAUUCCUGGUGUAGAGGUGAAAUUCGUAGAUAUCGGGAGGAACACCAGUGGCGAAGGCGGCGACCUGGGCCAAUAUUGACGCUGAGGUGCGAAAGCGUGGGGAGCAAACAGG
rnacentral:rRNA from 1 species